rnacentral:rRNA from 1 species
ACCCUACGGGGGGCAGCAGUGGGGAAUAUUGCACAAUGGGGGAAACCCUGAUGCAGCGACGCCGCGUGAGCGAUGAAGUAUUUCGGUAUGUAAAGCUCUAUCCGUAGGGAAGAAAAUGACGGUACCUGACUAAGAAGCCCCGGCUAACUACGUGCCAGCAGCCGCGGUAAUACGUAGGGGGCAAGCGUUAUCCGGAUUUACUGGGUGUAAAGGGAGCGUAGACGGAAAGGCAAGUCAGAAGUGAAAACCCAAGGCUCAACCAUGGGACUGCUUUUGAAACUGUCAAACUAGAGUACGGGAGAGGU